rnacentral:rRNA from 1 species
UCCCGCAAGGGAUGAGUAGAGUGGCAAACGGGUGAGUAACGCGUGGGCGACCUACCUUCGAGUGGGGGAUAACCUUCCGAAAGGAGGGCUAAUACCGCAUGACAUCCCGUGUUUGGAUACACGGACAUCAAAGCCGGGGAUCGCAAGACCUGGCGCUUGAAGAGGGGCCCGCGUCCGAUUAGCUAGUUGGUGGGGUAAUGGCUCACCAAGGCUCCGAUCGGUAUCCGGCCUGAGAGGGCGGACGGACACACUGGGACUGAGACACGGCCCAGACUCCUACGGGAGGCAGCAGUGGGGAAUUGUUCGCAAUGGGCGCAAGCCUGACGACGCAACGCCGCGUGGAGGAUGAAGACCUUCGGGUCGUAAACUCCUUUCGACCGAGAUGAAGACCGAUCGGCCUAACAUGCCGAUCGAUUGACAGUAUCGAGGGAAGCAGCCCCGGCUAACUCCGUGCCAGCAGCCGCGGUAAUACGGGGGGGGCAAGCGUUGUUCGGAAUUACUGGGCGUAAAGGGUUUGUAGGUGGCUCGCUAAGUCACACGUGAAAUCCCUCAGCUUAACUGGGGAACUGCGUGUGGGACUGGCAAGCUCGAGUGCAGGAGAGGAAUGCGGAAUUCCAGGUGUAGCGGUGAAAUGCGUAGAUAUCUGGAGGAACACCGGUGGCGAAGGCGGCAUUCUGGACUGCAACUGACACUGAUAAACGAAAGCCAGGGGAGCAAACGGGAUUAGAUACCCCGGUAGUCCUGGCCCUAAACGAUGAAUGCUUGGUGUGGCGGGUAUCGAUCCCUGCCGUGCCGUANUUAACGCGUUAAGCA